AUUGAACGCUGGCGGCAUGCUUUACACAUGCAAGUCGAACGGUAACAGGUCUUCGGAUGCUGACGAGUGGCGAACGGGUGAGUAAUACAUCGGAACGUGCCUAGUAGUGGGGGAUAACUACUCGAAAGAGUAGCUAAUACCGCAUGAGAUCUACGGAUGAAAGCAGGGGACCUUCGGGCCUUGUGCUACUAGAGCGGCUGAUGGCAGAUUAGGUGGUUGGUGGGGUAAAGGCUUACCAAGCCUGCGAUCUGUAGCUGGUCUGAGGGGACGACCAGCCACACUGGGACUGAGACACGGCCCAGACUCCUACGGGAGGCAGCAGUGGGGAAUUUUGGACAAUGGGCGAAAGCCUGAUCCAGCAAUGCCGCGUGCAGGAUGAAGGCCCUCGGGUUGUAAACUGCUUUUGUACGGAACGAAAAGCCUGGGGCUAAUAUCCCCGGGUCAUGACGGUACCGUAAGAAUAAGCACCGGCUAACUACGUGCCAGCAGCCGCCGUAACAC
rnacentral:rRNA from 1 species